rnacentral:rRNA from 1 species
CCAUCGAGUCUUUGAACSCAAGUUGCGCCCGAAGCCGUCAGGCCGAGGGCACGUCGGCCUGGGUGUCACGCAACGUCGCCAACGCCCAGACCCCUGGGCGCGGCGGAUGAUGGCCUCCCGGGACCCUCGCCUCCCGGCUGGCCGAAAGAGGGGCCCGACGUGACGACCGCCACGAUCCAGGUGGUUGAGCGAGCAYUCGCUCUAGGCCAAGGCGUGCGCGCGUCGUCCCACGGCGAGGGCCCGUGGAUAGGGCGUUCGGCAGCAGAGCCCUCCGCCCGCACGCACGCGACCCCAGGUCAGGCGGGGCUACCCGCUGAGUUUAAGCAUAUCAAUAAGCGGAGGAAAAGAAACUAACGAGGAUUCCCCUAGUAACGGCGA